ACAUGUCUUCUGAUUGGCCAACACGCGCGCGAUUCGCGCUCAAAUUCUUUAUUUGCAGAUUUCAGGGCUUUUACUACACUACGCAUUUCAACGUUUUCAAGAAAUUUUAGGUUCACUUGAAAAGUGCAGGUGAACUAUGGGAAUCACUGGUGUAUCAGACAUAUCUGGCUUUGAGUGGAAAAGAAACACUGAGCUUGGGAAUCAAGUGAGGGAAAUAGAGCAAAAAGAAAGGCCUAUAUGUUUAUUGCAUCUGACACAGUUACAUACAGAAGGCUGAUAUAUUGUGGUGCGUCCCGUUCCACUGACCAGCAGGAUUUAUAUCUGGAAGAUAAAGGUUAAAUAAGGAGCAAAGAACCUGGUAUACAUGCAGUUUAUGAAUUAUUCAACUUUAUGAGUCACUGAGUUUAGCUUCUGCUGCUGCAAACACACAGCAGCAUUACUUCAGAAUUCCUGAUUGGCCCUGUGCUCAUUUUUAACAUCUCUUUGUCACCAUUACAUGCAGUCACUAAAAGCACACAU